rnacentral:rRNA from 1 species
UACAGAGGUCUCAAGCGUUGUUCGGAUUCAUUGGGCGUAAAGGGUGCGUAGGCUGGCGCGGUAAGUCGGGUGUAGCGAAAUCAUCGGAGCUUAACUCCGAAACUGCAUUCGGAUACUGCCGUGCUUGAGGACUGGAGAGGAGACUGGAAUUUACGGUGUAGCGGUGAAAUGCGUAGAUAUCGUAAGGAAGACCAGUGGCGAAGGCGGGUCUCUGGACAGUUCCAUGA